rnacentral:rRNA from 1 species
UGGGGAAUUUUCCGCAAUGGGCGAAAGCCUGACGGAGCAACGCCGCGUGGGUGAUGAAGGAUUUCGGUCUGUAAAGCCCUUUCAGUCGGGACGAGACGAAGACGGUACCGACAGAAGAAGCAUCGGCUAACUACGUGCCAGCAGCCGCGGUAAUACGUAGGAUGCAAGCGUUAUCCGGAAUUAUUGGGCGUAAAGCGAACGUAGGCGGUUUCUUAAGUUUGGGGUUAAAGACCAAGGCUCAACCUUGGGAGUGCCCUGAAUACUGGGAGGCUGGAGGACGGCAGAGGAAAGUGGAAUUCCCAGUGUAGCGGUGAAAUGCGUAGAUAUUGGGAGGAACACCAGUGGCGAAAGCGACUUUCUGGGCCGUUCCUGACGCUGAGGUUCGAAAGCCAGGGGAGCA